AACAGAAAAAUAAAAAGUCAACUUGGGUUAAAUUUAGCUGAUAGAAUUAAACUAUUUAGGUCUUAGUCAAGAGACUGAAGACAUCAAAAAAAAAACAAUUGCCUUGGUUUUAAUAACUCAGUUUCACUAUUCUCUAAUAUUGAGUUCCCUUCUUUAAGAUCAUAUUCUAUCUUAUCUGUUUAAAUUUCUUAGAUGUGUUCAAAAUAUCUGGAGAGUAGGAAAUUACCAAAUUUGUAAGUUUUGCUUGACCCUCCCAUCUAUUUUUUUAAAUGUAUAAGUAGUGUAUCUAAGGCUAGCUAGCAUCUGUAUAUGUUUUCUGGGUUGACAUAUUAUUAGAGACUGCUUUACCUGGAAAACCAGUAUCUUCUCAAAAACUCCAUGUCGGUAUUAUAUACGCUGCUUCUUUUGUAUAAUUUGUAAAUCUUGUUCCUGUUUUUAAAAAGUCAGAUGUCCAAAAGAAAGGAGGUUUCUAUCUUAUAACUGCUUUUGAUAUGUGCUAAAUUUGUUAGGAUAAUACCAAUUAAACAUGUUAAAUAUAAGAACAUGUUACAGUCUAAGUCUACCAUUUCAAAAGUUUGUGUAUCUACUUC
rnacentral:lncRNA from 1 species